GGCCUCUGCUUCUAGUUGCUUCUUGGAGUGAGUAAAACUAAAGGCUGAUGAUCUAAUCUGUAGCUAUUUGCAAAAAUGAAAGGAAUGUCUUGUUCUUUAAUUAUUUCGGGUUGGUUUAAUUAUUUUGGAUUGGAUUUUUUUGCACUAGUGCCCCGGUAAUUAGAUUUUCUAAAUUGAUUUGGUGUGAAAGUUUUGCUGCAACAAGGGUUCUCACAGCCAAGUUUAACUUGAAUAGCCUGUUUCAUACAUCUUAUCCAUUUUCUUAAAUUAAGCUGCCGUCAGCGGCUUUUAACUGAAGCGUUAGGAGUACAAUGCUAUAGUGUUGCCCUAUUUUUUUUUGGUGCUCCCCAUAAAGGUUUAAAACGUAAGCUUUACUUAACUUAUAUCUUGAGUGUG